rnacentral:rRNA from 1 species
GUGAGGAAUUUUCCGCAAUGGUCGCAAGACUGACGGAGCAACGCCGCGUGCAGGAGGACGCUUUUCGGAGUGUAAACUGCUUUUCUGUGGGAAGAGCAAGGACGGUACCACAGGAAGAAGCCCCGGCUAACUACGUGCCAGCAGCCGCGGUAAUACGUAGGGGGCGAGCGUUGUCCGGAGUUACUGGGCGUAAAGGGCACGCAGGCGGUGCGGCGCGUUUCGCGUGACAGCGGAGGGCUUACCUCUCCGAGGAUGCGAAAGACGGCGGCACUUGAGGGCCAGAGAGGGACACGGAAUUCCGGGUGGAGUGGUGAAAUGCGUAGAGAUCCGGAGGAACACCGAAGGCGAAGGCAGUGUCCUGGCUGGUGACUGACGCUGAGGUGCGAAAGCUAGGGGAGCGAACGGGAUUAGAAACCCCAGUAGUCC